CAAAUAAAAAUUACAUUGGGAGGCCGAGGCAGGCAGAUCACAAGGUCAGGAGUUCAAGACCAGUCUGACCAAUAUGGUGAAACCCUGUCUCUACUAGAAAUAUAAAAAUUAGCCAGGCGUGGUGGCACAUGCCUGUAGUCCCAGCUAGUCAGGAGACUGAGGCAGGAGAAUCGCUUGAACCUUGGAGGCGGAGGUUGCAGUAAGCCGAGAUUGCGCCACUGCACUCCAGCCUGGAUGACAGAGCAAGACUCCAUCUACAAAAAAAAAAAAAAAAAAAAAAAGCUCACAGUUGAGCAGGCUGAGAAGUUCAAGGGCAUGGCCCUGGCUUCUUCGAGGGCUUUCCUGCUGCAUCACAUGGCAGAGAAGGUCUAAGGGGAGGUGGACACGUGUGAAGAGAGCAAAACAUGAGGAGCAUCCUGGCUUUAUAACCCACUCCCGAGAAAUAAUCAAUUCCUGCAAGAACUAAUCCUGUCUCUUGAGAGCCACAGCUCACUACCAGGAAAACAGUACCAAACCAUUCAUGAGGAAUUUGCCCCCACAACCUAAACACCUCCCACUAGACCCCGCCUCCCAACAUCACCACACUGGGGAUAGAAUUUCAAUAUAAGUUUUGGUGGAGACAAAUCACAUCCAAGCCACAGCAUAUAACCAGGACAAAGAAAAUAUUUGGAAUUAGAAUUAAGCUAUUGUCUUCCAAUGUUUUAGCAAACCAGUUAUACCCUUCAGCCUACAAAACUUUUACCAUACUAAUGUGAAUGUUAGGAUAUCCAUGCCUCAUGGCAUGCAACCCAUCUACAGCUACCCUAAGGAAGGCAUUAAAGGCAAGAGAAAGAACAAAAGACAAUGGGGUC
rnacentral:lncRNA from 1 species